AGCAGUCGCCGCGGUAAUACGUAGGGUGCAAGCGUUAAUCGGAAUUACUGGGCGUAAAGCGUGCGCAGGCGGUUAUAUAAGACAGAUGUGAAAUCCCCGGGCUCAACCUGGGAACUACAUUUGUGACUGUAUAGCUAGAGUACGGCAGAGGGGGAUGGAAUUCCGCGUGUAGCAGUGAAAUGCGUAGAUAUGCGGAGGAACACCGAUGGCGAAGGCAAUCCCCUGGGCCUGUACUGACGCUCAUGCACGAAAGCGUGGGGAGCAAACAGGAUUAGAUACCCCCGUAGUCCCUGUCUCUUAUAC
rnacentral:rRNA from 1 species